rnacentral:tRNA from 1 species
GCCGGGGUGGCCGAGCUAGGUCCAAGGCGCGGGACUCGAGGUGAAUAGGUAAAUAACAAGACAUCCCGUCCCCGCAAGGGGGCCCGGGUUCAAAUCCCGGCCCCGGCA